CUUGGCAAAUGUCUGAUCACAAAAACACCAAAUUUCUAAAUAAGGACUCCAAACACUUCUAACACUAAAUAUUGAAAAAAAUAUGAGCUGCACCUCAAGUUAAGAUCAGCAAAAACGACAUGAUUGAUUUAUUUUUGGUGAAUCAGUGACUGCAAUUCUAGUGGUGGCAGGUUAUAUCAAGGAAUAAAUGUUUGUGAAAUAGCAGUUGUAAGGAGCAACUCCUACUAACACACAAUUCGUAAAACAUUGUGUCCGGAAUUGGCGGGUUCUUGAUCUCACUGAUUUCAAGAAAGCCACAAGUCCUCCGGAUGAGUGUUACAAUCGUUAGAUGCGGUGUAGCCAGAGUUCAUUCCCUCUGACGUUCGGAUGUGUUAUAGAGUUUCUUCCUUCUGGUGGUUUGGUCUUCUACUGGCUCAGGAGUGAAACUGCAAACCUUGGCAGUCAGUGUUACAUCUUCUAAGGCGGCGCCUCCGGAGUUGUUUGUUCUUGCCCGAGAAUUCAUGUUUUUCCUAACUUCAAAAGAUAAGCUGCAGACCAUCAACAAAUUACAGCUCAUAAACGUAGUGUAAACCCAAAGAACAAUCAAGAUCCAUCGCAGAGAGCGAAAAAUCACUUCCGCACCGUGGGAAAAAGCCCGAACACGUUGUCGCAGUUGGUUCCGGCAGCCUGCUUUUAUUAUCUUGUCUGGCCCCACCCACAUCCUGCUGAUUGGUCCAUUUUACAGAGAACUGACUGGUCUGUUUUACAGAGAGCUGAUUGGUCCAUCUUCACAGAGUGCUCAUUGGCGCGUUUACAAUCCCUGAGCUAGACACAAAAGUUCUCCAAGUCCCCACCAGAGUAGCUAGAUACAGAGUGUCC
rnacentral:lncRNA from 10 species